rnacentral:rRNA from 1 species
UACGUAGGGCGCGAGCGUUGUCCGGAAUUAUUGGGCGUAAAGAGCUCGUAGGCGGUUUGUCGCGUCGGUUGUGAAAACCCAAGGCUCAACCUUGGGCCUGCAAUCGAUACGGGCAGACUAGAGUACUGCAGGGGAGACUGGAAUUCCUGGUGUAGCGGUGGAAUGCGCAGAUAUCAGGAGGAACACCGGUGGCGAAGGCGGGUCUCUGGGCAGUAACUGACGCUGGAGGAGCGAAAGCCGUGGGAGCGAACAGG